CUUCAGUAGUCGUAGAAGGGGGAUAUGUUGCUACUCCUCCUGCCGCCCCGCCGGUUUUACCGCUUCCUCGUCAUUUUAAUACACCUAAAUAACGUAACUGAGGAGUGCUGUGCCUGGCUGUGUCUGCUGCAACAUUGAUCAACACAGCAACAUUGAUCAACACAGCAACAUUGAUCAACACAGCAACAUUGAUCAACACAGCAACAUUGAUCAGUCUGAGGGGUGGAGACACUAGUAAAUAAUCUGACCCGUAACACUUAGUGUUAUAUGGAGAUGCAGCAGCUGGAGACGUAGUCAAAGAUGGGCGGGGCCCACUUAUAAGCUGCUGUGUGGCGAAGACCGUGCUGUGGGCAGCUGCUGUGUGGCGAAGACCGUGCUGUGGGCAGCUGCUGUGUGGCGAAGACCGUGCUGUGGGCAGCUGCG